AUGAGGAACCCUGGGGGGGUGCUGACAAGGCUUCCACUUAGGAAGUGCUGUCUCUGGGACAGUGGAGGCAGUCACUGCUUAGGGCAUCAGGAGACCACUUCCAGAAGGGCAGGCUGUGCACCUGAGACAACAGCUGAACCGACCAGAGGAGAAAGGUCGGGAUCCUGGGAGCCCGAGCUCAGGUUGGAGCUGAAGGUGGUGGUAGCCAGGACAGACCACAGAAAAGUUUCCUACAGGGAAGUGGCAGUGGCCUCAGGAAACCGGGCAGAGAAGAGCCAGGGGCCACCUGAGUUCCCAACCCUCUCCAGGCUCCUCUCUCAAGUGAUGUCGCAGCCUGCACCUGUUCCUCUCACCAGGGCAGGAGGAAGGCCCUGGCCACCCAGCGAGCAGACACUUGAAAUGAGUGUUCCUUUACAAAAGCCAGCCAGGAAGUUCACCAGUCAGAACAAAAAAAGUACAUUGAAGCAGACAUUGGUGAACUCUCUCCGGAAGAAAGGAAGGAACAGUACACCUCUCUGGGAGGCAUUACGUUUCUGGGAAACCCACAUCAAACAUGUCAUAAUCUGCUCCCCGGCCUUCACAAAAACACACAUUCAUUACAAAACAAAUACGUAUUUAUUGUAG
rnacentral:lncRNA from 1 species